CGUCCCACUCCACAGCAGCGCUCACACACCGGCUCUCCGUCCCACUCCACAGCAGCGUUCCGGCGGAGGAAAACAAGCGAGAUGUCCAUUUACCGAGCUGAGAAUUUCCUCCGGUACAGACGCGGAAUGAGGAGGUGAUCACACUCACCCUUCAGCACAAACAGAUGUGUGGGACACUGAAAUUCGCCCUGGUCAAAGUUUCUGCAGGCGAGCUGACAGAAACAUCACGCUAACAGGCGGCUUGCCAUCUGCUGCGAAGAACACUGCAUGUCAUCACCAGGGUUGUGGGAGGAUGAGAAGACAGAGGUUCGGGCUGCAUGAAUAAUCAUGAUGAUGACGUCGGCAUGAUGAGCUGGAUGAAGCUGGAGCUUCAGUUUCUCUGUUACAUGGACGUCACCUGGAACAGUCCGGUAUAAAGUCUACUAGCUCCUCAUCCUGGAGGUCACAUGAUAUGGCACGGCGGAUUUCGGGCCCGAUAUCAUGCAGCGUGCGGAGACCAGCCUGGAACCACCACAACACAGGAGAGCUAAGAAACCG